rnacentral:lncRNA from 1 species
GGAGCACUCGCUGGAGGUUGAAAAGACGCCGGGAGCAGAGUGGCACUUCCGUGAACGGUGCUCAGCCAACCCGCUAGAUAGACGGUGACGGUGGAGGAGAAACUGAACAUCAGUAAGGGGCGCCCAAGAGGCUGAUGUGUGUUCAGGCUGUCUACACCAGGGGAAGCCAGCUUGUGAAGCAGCCCUGUGAAGAGAUGGCUAUGCCAAGAGACCAAACCCUGCCAACCACCACAUGUGUGAACUUGGAAGUGGAUCCAUGACCCUGAGCCCCCCCAAGUCAACCUUCAGAUGAGACCCCAAUCUUGACUGAGAGGUUGACUGCAACCUCCUGAGAGACUUGGAUCCAGAGGCUCCCAACUAAGCACCCCCGGAUUCCUAACACACUGAGACCGUGAGAUAAUAAAUCCACACUUGUGGUAACCUUAGAAUUCAAGAGAUGGUCAUUGUCCCAAAUCUGUGGUUUCGUACUUGGCCUGACAAUGGUGGAGGAGACUGACAUCAGCAGAUGGUGUGGACCUGUCCAGCCCGGUUGAUUCCGGCAUCCAUGGGGGAUACUUGUCUAUGACGGAUGCUUGCCUAUGGGGGACAAGUGCCUUGCUGCCUGUCCCUCUCUCCCUCCCUGCCUUACAAACAGUGAUGGAUUCUGAUUCCAGGAGUUGUUCUAGAGCCUGUGGACCCUGGAGUUGAACUAGAACAGACAAGGUUCCUGCUCUUCAGGGACGUUCAAAUGUGAUGCCUAUUUACAUGCGGUGAUUACUACUCCUACUUUUCAAAUGAAGAUAGCUGAGACAGAGAGGUUAAGUAACUUGCCAAGAACUGCACAGCUCCAAAAUGGUGGAAGAAAAAAAUCAACUCAAGGAUCCUGGGACUCUCACGCCUCAACCUUCUGAGCAACCAGAGGCUGCAUCAUUUCCCGUUUUCUAGCCCCUUUGAUAAAGUGGCAACCCCACACCCUCCUCACCUAAUUACCUUAGUCUUGGGAUUGGUCCUGACUCCUCCACGUUCCCACAGUGGAACUGCAGCUGGACUUUCACCUUUCGGAGUCCUGAAGCCUGUACCUCAUAAAUCGAGGCUCUGAUAGUCUAACAGCUUCAUUAAUAAACUCUUGCAGGAUGAGAUGUUAAAAGCACACUUCUAAUAGGUUUAUAGCUUUCUGCUUGGGGUUACCGUCUGGGGGAGGUGUUCUAUAUUUUUAAUCUCUUCUGUGCCUUUGCUCAGAUUGCUGUUCUGUAAAGGAUCUUGGCUAGCUGGAGUAGAUUUAGUUCGUUUGGCUGGGACACUUUCUUAAUAGUAUAGAGAUAACCAAUUGUAUAGUUUAUGUUGGAAUUGAGGAUUUUGCCUCCCUCAAGAAUAUUAUAAUCUUAACUUAUUGUUUGAGGCUCCAUUGCUUUUGGAUAAAUACAAAAAUGUGUUUUCUCUU